rnacentral:rRNA from 1 species
UAGGGAAUCUUCGGCAAUGGGGGGAACCCUGACCGAGCAACGCCGCGUGAGUGAAGAAGGUUUUCGGAUCGUAAAGCUCUGUUGUUAAGGAAGAACGAGUGUGAGAAUGGAAAGUUCAUGCUGUGACGGUACUUAACCAGAAAGGGACGGCUAACUAUGUGCCAGCAGCCGCGGUAAUACGUAGGUCCCGAGCGUUGUCCGGAUUUAUUGGGCGUAAAGCGAGCGCAGGCGGUUAGAAAAGUCUGAAGUGAAAGGCAGUGGCUCAACCAUUGUAGGCUUUGGAAACUGUUUAACUUGAGUGCAGAAGGGGAGAGUGGAAUUCCAUGUGUAGCGGUGAAAUGCGUAGAUAUAUGGAGGAACACCGGUGGCGAAAGCGGCUCUCUGGUCUGUAACUGACGCUGAGGCUCGAAAGCGUGGGGAGCGAACAGG